rnacentral:rRNA from 1 species
AGUGAACGCUGGCGGUAGGCCUAACACAUGCAAGUCGAACGGCAGCACAGGAGAGCUUGCUCUCUGGGUGGCGAGUGGCGGACGGGUGAGGAAUACAUCGGAAUCUACUCUGUCGUGGGGGAUAACGUAGGGAAACUUACGCUAAUACCGCAUACGACCUACGGGUGAAAGCAGGGGAUCUUCGGACCUUGCGCGAUUGAAUGAGCCGAUGUCGGAUUAGCUAGUUGGCGGGGUAAAGGCCCACCAAGGCGACGAUCCGUAGCUGGUCUGAGAGGAUGAUCAGCCACACUGGAACUGAGACACGGGCCAGACGCCUACGGGAGGUAGCAGUGGGGAAUAUUGGACAAUGGGCGCAAGCCUGAUCCAGCCAUACCGCGUGGGUGAAGAAGGCCGUCGGGUUGUAAAGCCCUUUUGUUGGGAAAGAAAUCCAGCUGGCUAAUACCCGGUUGGGAUGACGGUACCCAAAGAAUAAGCACCGGCUAACUUCGUGCCAGCAGCCGCAGUAA